UCCGCGGGCAGCAACCCUCGCG
rnacentral:misc_RNA from 1 species